rnacentral:tRNA from 1 species
UGGUCGGGAUAGCUCAGUUGGUAGAGCAGAGGACUGAAAAUCCUCGU